rnacentral:rRNA from 1 species
UGGGGAAUAUUGCACAAUGGGCGCAAGCCUGAUGCAGCCAUGCCGCGUGAAGGAAGAAGUAUCUCGGUAUGUAAACUUCUAUCAGCAGGGAAGACAAUGACGGUACCUGACUAAGAAGCCCCGCUAACUACGUGCCAGCAGCCGCGGUAAUACGUAGGGGCAAGCGGUUAUCCGGAUUUACUGGGUGUAAAGGGAGCGUAGACGGAUCUGCAAGUCUGGAGUGAAAGCCCGGGGCUCAACCCGGACGUGCUUUGGAAACUGUGGAUCUAGAGUGCCGGAGAGGUAAGCGGAAUUCCUAGUGUAGCGGUGAAAUGCGUAGAUAUUAGGAGGAACACCAGUGGCGAAGGCGGCUUACUGGACGGUAACUGACGUUGAGGCUCGAAAGCGUGGGGAGCAAACAGGAUUAGAUACCC